rnacentral:rRNA from 1 species
UACGAGUGCUUCGAGCGUUAUCCGGAAUCAUUGGGCGUAAAGGGUGUGUGAGGCGGUUGUGUUAGUCAUCGCGUUAAAUCUUCGGCUCAACCGAGAGUCUGCGUGGGAAACGGCACGGCUGGAGGACGGAAGAGGUUUCUGGAACUCAUAGUGUAGCGGUGAAAUGCGUUGAUAUUAUGGGGAACACCAAAUGCGAAGGCAAGAAACUGGUCCGCUCCUGACGCUGAAACACGAAAGCGUGGGUCGCGAAUGGG